AAAGCGGUCAAAUCUGCAAAAGAUAUACUGGAACAUAAGAAAACUCAAAACAUGGUAUUCAAGUUCAGCAUAUUCCCUCCUGAAUCUGAAUCUGAAUCCAAGGCUACACAGUGAAGUUGAAAGGUUAGUCAAAUUCAUUUGCAUUAUAGUACGGCUAGAUAUCUUUGUUUCCAUUUGGCAUACAUAUUCCGUGACUCCAUCUAUCUCUAUAUAUGUCUCAUUUAGUAUAUCUUUUGUAAUUAUUUCAUUUUUCUAGUAUAUGUAACAAUUUGUAAAAUGCACUCUGAAACACUUUUCCUCUCUUUGCUUCCCUGUUAUUUCAUUAACCAAUUUUCCUCUAUUCUGCAGGAGAGAAUCGGGACUUCGAUCUGGGGUCAUGUGUAUGAUGUCGCAACAUUUCAUGUUUUCUGUCGUCCAGUCAUCUGAUAAGGUUGUUCCAAUGAAGAAAACCUGUUUGGCUUUUGUGAUUUGUAAUACGC
rnacentral:lncRNA from 1 species